AUACUCUGGUUUCUCUUCAGAUCGUGUAAAUCUUUCGCCUUUUACUAAAGAUUUCCGAGGAGAGGAACAUUUAUGAGUUUUGUUUGUUAGGUAUUCUUUCUGAUUGUGAUAGUAA